rnacentral:rRNA from 1 species
UUGCACGCUGGCGGCAGGCCUAACCCAUGCCAGUCGAGCGGAUGAAGGGAGCUUGCUCCUGGAUUCAGCGGCGGACGGGUGAGUAAUGCCUAGGAAUCUGCCUGGUAGUGGGGGAUAACGUCCGGAAACGGGCGCUAAUACCGCAUACGUCCUGAGGGAGAAAGUGGGGGAUCUUCGGACCUCACGCUAUCAGAUGAGCCUAGGUCGGAUUAGCUAGUUGGUGGGGUAAAGGCCUACCAAGGCGACGAUCCGUAACUGGUCUGAGAGGAUGAUCAGUCACACUGGAACUGAGACACGGUCCAGACUCCUACGGGAGGCAGCAGUGGGGAAUAUUGGACAAUGGGCGAAAGCCUGAUCCAGCCAUGCCGCGUGUGUGAAGAAGGUCUUCGGAUUGUAAAGCACUUUAAGUUGGGAGGAAGGGCAGUAAGUUAAUACCUUGCUGUUUUGACGUUACCAACAGAAUAAGAACCGGCUAACUUCGUG